AGUCUGUUGAAGAUCCAUUGGGAAUAUCUUUGUCCACCGAUUUUAUCAAGGAGGAUCCUGGAUUAAAUAUAACUGAGAAUACUGUGGAAACCUCAACAAGAUGUGCAUCUGAUAGUGCAAGAUUUACUCAGACUACUGGUGGGAGUUGCAGCAUAUCAUGUGAAGAAACUUGUCACCAUAGACUGGUCCAGGAUGAGUUGGUGAUAGACAUGGAGAAGUCAACACAUGGGUUCAGUACCAAUACAGAAGAUGUGACUAUUGAUAAGGAAUGCUCAGUUGCCACCCAAUAUGACUGUAGUAUGAGGGAAAAGGAAUUACACGUAUAUAGCUGUAAUUUCUGCCAACAGAGCUUUUCUUCAAAAUACAGACUCAUAAUGCAUGUGUUUAUGCACAUUGAUGGAACGCAACCACCUUCAUAUGUUUGUAAGUGGUGUGGUGAGGUAUUUCACAGUAAUGUUGGCUUGAAAAACCAUAUGAGAAUGAG